rnacentral:lncRNA from 1 species
AGCCCCGCCCGCGCGGCUCUGCGAACAGCCCUGCCCACACGGGGGAAUCAGGAGUGGCGUGGGACCCGCGGCGCGGAACUCCCAGCUACUGCUCCCACCAGUGUUGACAACUGAGGUCUCUUGCACCAGCUUCCGGGGGCGUGGCUACCAGAGGGCAAGCAAAUUCGCUGGGGGUUCUCAGCCCCAAGCUCUACAAACUUAGGGUCCGAGGGAAUGGCAAACAGGGAGAGUGUGCCCAGUCGUUCAUGAAAACAGGGAUCACAGGAGCAGCAGACCUGGUGUGUAGCCAGUAUUGUGGUGAGCGUCACCAGUGAGCGGGGCCUGGCUUGAGGAAAAGUGGGGAAGUGACUAGACACAAGAGAAGGCCCUAGGCACUCAAGAUUGGAGACCUGCCCAGUCCGGGAGGAAGGGCUGCUGCACAGUGAUUGGCUCCCGCCUACUGAGAGGAGAAGCUUGGCCCGGUGGGCACAGCUCCACCUACUGGAAGAGUAGUUAAUCGAACUCUAAGACUUCAUUUAUUAAUUUUUUUUUGUUGUUGUUGUUGCUGUUUUUUUUUAAAUUCAUUUUAUUUUUAAUUUUAAUUUUCAUUUUUAUUAUUAUUAUUGUUAUUAUUAUUUUUAAUUCUUUUUAAUUUUCUAUUUUUUUUCUUCUUUUCUUCUGUCUUUUCAUUUCUUUUCAAUUUUCUUAUUCCCCCUUCCUUGAAUUCUACCUGCUUACUCUCAUUCUCUUUAGUGACUUCUUCCCUUCCCUUCUAAUACCUUUCCUCCCAAAUAUCAAAUAAAUUUAUAGGAGUAAACAGUAACUCAGCAGUCAAACAGAACAAGAAGCAACAUGAGCAUCAUGAAAAAGCAAGGAAGAAAAGGAGUACAAACAAUGCAGGACAGCCUAAAUAUUCAGGAGGAUAUAGAGUCAUUAGAAAAAUGGUCAUAUAAAGAACUCAAGGAAUACCUUAGACAGAUGGAAUGGAACCUUAAAGAGGAUACGAGACAGCAAAUUCAAGCAGCGAAAGAACACAUUGAGAAUGAAUUACAUAAACAGAUAAAAGAAGAAGUUAAGCAUCUUUAUCAGGAGAUAGAGAUUAUAAAAAAGAAUCAAACAAUAAUCUUAGAAAUGAAGGAAAUUAUAAACCAAAUUAAAAACUCAAAUGAGAGUAUCACUAAUAGAGUGGAGCAAGUAGAAGCCAGAACGUCAGAUAAUGAAGACAAAAUAUAUCAUCUUGAAAAGAGUGUAGCCAACUCAGAUAGGCUGGUUAAAAAUCAUGAGAGAAACAUCCAAGAGAUAUGAGAUAACAUAAAAAAACCAAAUUUAAGAGUCAUCGGGAUAGAGGAAGGUAUAGAGAUUCAAACCAAGGGAAUGAGUAACCUGCUAAAUGAAAUAAUUACAGAAAACUUUCCAGAAAUAAAAAAGGAAACAGAUAUACAAAUUGUAGAUGCAUACAGGACACCGAGCAUACAAAAUCCCAGUAGACCAACGCCAAGACACAUUGUUAUGAAGAUAUC